GAUGAACGCUGGCGGCGUGCCUAAUACAUGCAAGUCGAGCGAACAGACGAGGAGCUUGCUCCUCUGACGUUAGCGGCGGACGGGUGAGUAACACGUGUAUAACCUACCUAUAAGACUGGGAUAACUUCGUGAAACCUGUUCUAAUACCGUCUAAUAUAUUGUACCGCAUGGUUCUAUAGUUAAUGACGGUUUUUCUGCCUCUUAUAGAUUGAUCCGCGCGGCAUUAGCUAGUUGGUAAGGUAACGGCUUACCAAGGCAACGAUGCGUAGCCGACAUGAGAGGGUGAACGGCAAAAAUGGAAGUGAGACACGGUCCAGACUACUACGGGAGGCAGCAGUAGGGAAUAGUCCGCAAUGGGCGAAAGCAUGACGGAGCAAAGCCGCGUGAGUGAUGAAGGUAUGAGGAUCGUAAAACUCUGUUAUUAGGGAAGAACAAAUGUGUAAGUAACUAUGCACGGAUUGACGGUAACUAAUAAGAAAGCAACGGCUAACUACGUG
rnacentral:rRNA from 1 species